AUAAUCUAUUAUAUAUAAUAAACAAGAAGACUUGGGCUGAUGUGGCACGUUCUUAGGGCUUCUCAGGAUUCGUUUUGGCGGGAAAAUGAGCUGAGUUUUAUAUCAUCCGCGGAUACCCAUUUUGAUGUGAUCCGACCCGUUUUAUGACCCGGGUAUAUAAGUCACAUAAAAAAACCUAAUUUCCUGUAGCCCCAUUCUUUUCCUUCACCGCUUCACAACCAAACCCUAGCCUCCGUCUUCCUUGAAGCUUCUACAUCUAAUUUUCUCUUAAAAGAUAGGUGUCGCUUGUGCUUUGAAUCGACUGAUAAAGGAUUCCAAACUCAAACCGAUUCACUUACAAAUGGUGGUGGCCUGAAGAGGAACGAUGACAACGACAUUGGUUGAUUUAGGUUUUCCCAGUGGUGGUCUUAUGAUGGUUGUGGUUUAACGCAACAACGAAAGGGCGGCGGCUAGGGUUUCACCAACACAUAAAUCGAUCUGGACCGACCGGUGUUGACGAAAAAGGAAUUACUCUUUGUUUUCGGAAGGAUGUUUGGGGGUUUAGCUAUGACAUGUGCUGAUAAACUUUCUGAUGUACCGACUAAUCUUUAGGUGCCCAAGGCAAAAUGGGUUCCUUUUUUUAAACGUUUCUAUAUAUGUUUUCAGGAGUUGGAGAAUAUAUGUUCGGAAUUUCGCAUCAUACAUGCCUGUCACGUUGAGUUGUGAUCACCAUGUUAUUGAUGGUAUGUGUUGUUAUGGCUAUAAUUAUGUGUCUAAAUGGACUCGGUUGGGUAACGGAUCAGAUGGGUAUAUUUGUUGAUACAUAUAUUUGUUCAUGUAUAUUAUUUAAUCGAAAACAAUGAAUUAUA